UACGUAGGGUCCGAGCGUUGUCCGGAAUUAUUGGGCGUAAAGGGCUCGUAGGCGGUCUGUUGCGUCGGGAGUGAAAACUUACAGCUUAACUGUGAGCGUGCUUUCGAUACGGGCAGACUUGAGGCAUUCAGGGGAGAACGGAAUUCCUGGUGUAGCGGUGAAAUGCGCAGAUAUCAGGAGGAACACCCGGGGCGAAGGCGGCCCUCUGGCGUCGACCCUGACGCUGAGGCGCGAAAGCGUGGGGAGCGAACGGG
rnacentral:rRNA from 1 species